rnacentral:rRNA from 1 species
GAUCUGGCUCAGGAUGAACGCUAGCUACAGGCUUAACACAUGCAAGUCGAGGGGCAGCGGGAUUGAAGCUUGCUUCAAUUGCCGGCGACCGGCGCACGGGUGAGUAACGCGUAUCCAACCUUCCGUACACUCAGGGAUAGCCUUUCGAAAGAAAGAUUAAUACCUGAUGGUGUGAUGAGAUUGCAUGAUAGCAUCAUUAAAGAUUUAUUGGUGUACGAUGGGGAUGCG